CCUACGGGUGGCAGCAGUGAGGAAUAUUGGUCAAUGGGCGAGAGCCUGAACCAGCCAAGUCGCGUGAAGGAUGACGGCCCUACGGGUUGUAAACUUCUUUUGUCAGGGAGCAAUUGAGUCCACGUGUGGUCUUAGCGAGAGUACCUGAAGAAAAAGCAUCGGCUAACUCCGUGCCAGCAGCAGCGGUAAUACGGAGGAUGCGAGCGUUAUCCGGAUUUAUUGGGUUUCAAGGGUGCGUAGGCGGAAUAUCAAGUCAGCGGUAAAAAUUCGGGGCUAAACCCCGUCGUGCCGUUGAAACUGAUGGUCUUGAGGGGGGGAGAAGUAUGCGGAAUGCGGGGUGUAGCGGUGAAAUGCAUAGAUAUCACGAAGAACACCGAUUGCGAAGGCGGCAUACUGGAGCCCAACUGACGCUGAAGCGCGAAAGCGUGGGUAUCGAACAGGAUUAGAUACCCUUGUAGUC
rnacentral:rRNA from 1 species